rnacentral:rRNA from 1 species
GACGAACGCUGGCGGCGUGCUUAACACAUGCAAGUCGUACGGUAAGGCCCUUUCGGGGGUACACGAGUGGCGAACGGGUGAGUAACACGUGAGUAACCCGCCCACAACUUUGGGAUAACGCUAGGAAACUGGUGCUAAUACUGGAUAUGUGCUCCUGCUGCAUGGUGGGGGUUGGAAAGCUCCGGCGGUUGUGGAUGGACUCGCGGCCUAUCAGCUUGUUGGUGGGGUAGUGGCCUACCAAGGCGGCGACGGGUAGCCGGCCUGAGAGGGUGACCGGCCACAUUGGGACUGAGAUACGGCCCAGACUCCUACGGGAGGCAGCAGUGGGGAAUAUUGCACAAUGGGCGCAAGCCUGAUGCAGCAACGCCGCGUGCGGGAUGACGGCCUUCGGGUUGUAAACCGCUUUCAGCAGGGACGAAGCUUUUUGUGACGGUACCUGCAGAAGAAGCACCGGCUAACUACGUG